AAAAAGAAAGAAAGAAAGAAAGAUUUUCUUCUAUUUCUCAAGAAUAAUUGUAUACAUAUUUAUACACAUUUGUUCCCUUUGGGCUAACUAAUUAGGAAUUCUAGAUCCCUAGAAUUGUGUUCUACACUAACAAAAUUGGAAUACAAUUGUACACAACAUACAGAAGUUGACUUUCCAUAACAAUGGAAAAGGCAUAAGAGGACAAGUUUAGAAAGCAUUAUGUUUACAAUUCACUGACGUUAUUGCUUAUCCCUAUAUGAUGAAAAACUGGUUGAAAAGAGCCAAUGCAUCAGAAUUGAAAUGAGUAACCGCAGAUUGUGUCAAAACCCCAACUAAUCCUGUUUUUUCAAGGUAAUUUAAACUCAUGAAGAU
rnacentral:misc_RNA from 1 species